CAAAUUACAAUGAACACUUUAUAGCUUCAGAUUAUAUCUAUGUACGUUAUAUGCAUUAAUAGACACUCACAUGCAAUGCAUGUAGAGGUAAAGUUAGAUUUGUUCAUAAUUAUUUAUUUUCUAACUAAGAAAAACAACAUCUUAUCAUUGGAUCAUAAAAACAGAAAGAAAAGGCAGCACAAACAAAAAAUUGAAAAUAAGAUAGAAGAG
rnacentral:lncRNA from 1 species